UUCUUUAAAGCAAAUAACCAUUGGUGGUACACUAUAAUAGAUAUAAACUUUUAAUCCAAAGUGUAGGCUUGUGUAUAUAAUCAUAGGACUUGGGAAAACUGACACAGAGAGCUUGCAAAGAGUCAUCAGCAAGCUGCCAUUGCAGCCCAAAGUCAGAAUCUGAAUAGUAUACAGCAAAAUGGAAACCUUCUGGUUAAUAGCCAGACUCUAGGUUCAAGCAGCCAGAUACAUGUUCAACCUCUUGGUACCACAAACUGUUCUGUGUUUGUUGUCCAUUGCAUCCAGAUCACACAUUAAAUUAUAUUUUAUGUACCCUGGUCUUCAUGCAGGCCCCUAACAAUUGGAGAAGGGUCUGUUUCUGACUCUGUUGCCUGCCUUUGGAUCCCUUUCACCAACCUGGGUUGCCUUCUCUGACAUCAGUGGAGUGUCUGAAGAUUUAAUCUUGUAAUCUUCACUCAGUAUGUAGUAUGUGUUCAUUAGCAUCUGUAUUCAUAAGCCACUUCAGGGAGGGUAUACAACUAAUUUGCUACAUGUUUUAUGCAACUCCUACAAAAGAGAAAAUAGUUUGGUGGAUAGCCUAGAAUAAAUAGGUCAUCAAUCACAAAGGUUCCUGAUGCAGGGUCUCUCCAUGCUCCUUAUGGUGAGCUCAGACUCAGGGAAUGAGGUGCUUGUUCUCCACUAAGUUCUGAUAAACUUUCAUUGAAGACACAGUCAAACACCUAGUCAUGGGUUUUCAAGUUUUUUGGGUCUGACUAUGCUGUGCAAUGUUGUUGCAACUCAAGCAUUAAAGCCAUGCUUUCUCUCAGCAUCCUGAGAUUCUCACACUGGAGAUUACAACCAUGAAAUUCUGUUGCCUCAGCCAUUUGUCUUAGCAUUGAACUCAACACUCACCAACUGCUUUGAGACAUUGAGGACAAUGUGAAAUGGAAAAGGCAAGGGUCUGAAGGUUUAAUCUUGUAAUCUUCACUCAGUAUGUAGUAUGUGUUCAUUAGCAUCUGUAUUCAUAAGCCACUUCAGGGAGGGUAUACAACUAAUUUGCUACAUGUUUUAUGCAACUCCUACAAAAGUGAAAAUAGUUUGGUGAAUAGCUUAGAAUAAAUAGGUCAUCAAUCACAAAGGUUCCUGAUGCAGGGUCUCUCCAUGCUCCUUAUGGUGAGCUCAGACUCAGGGAAUGAAGUGCUUUUUCUCCACUAGGUUCUGAUAAACUUUCAUUGAAGACACAGUCAAACACCUAGUCAUGGUAUAGUAAAUCGUGGGCUUCUUUUCUCUUCGCUUUUUAAUUUGUUGAGCAUAUUACCUUUGGUUUCCAAUUAUUAACAGUUUUCACAUAAAAUCCAUUAAAUCUUUUGUUUUCCUCCUAUACAAACAUGUUUCUUAGGCAUAUUUUAAAACCAAAUUUUUGUGUAUGCCUUACUAAUUUUAUAGAAACAACAUGAUGUUAUUUCAAACUAGAUAUGGUUUGUUCUUUCCUUAGAAAUACUCACUUUUCAUUUUCUACCCCAUUUGCUCUAAGGAUAUGCCUAGGAAAUGUUUGUGAAGUGGCAUCCACUGUUUAUUUUUCUUUUUAAUUUGUUGAACGUUAGUGAUCCUUUUCAGAUUGUAUUACUUCCUUCUAUGUAAUUAUGAAAUUUCAGUACAGUACAUGGCCUGAUAUUUUUUUUAGUUCUUGAGUUUCACUUCCUUAAUAAAUAUUUUUUAUACAUUUA